CCUAUGGGAGGCUGCAGUGGGGAAUAUUGGUCAAUGGGCGCAAGCCUGACCCAGCAACGCCGCGUGAAGGAAGAAGGCUUUCGGGUUGUAAACUUCUUUUCUGAGGGACGAAAAAAGUGACGGUACCUCAUGAAUAAGCCACGGCUAACUACGUGCCAGCAGCAGCGGUAAUACGUAGGUGGCAAGCGUUAUCCGGAUUUAUUGGGUGUAAAGGGCGUGUAGGCGGGAAAGCAAGUCAGAUGUGAAAACUCAGGGCUCAACCCUGAGCCUGCAUUUGAAACAGGUUUGCUUGAGUUCAGGAGAGGCAAUCGGAAUUCCGGGUGUAGCGGUGAAAUGCGUAGAUAUAAGGAGGAACACCAGUGGCGAAGGCGGAUUGCUGGACAGUAACUGACGCUGAGGCGCGAAAGCGUGGGGAGCAAACAGGAUUAGAUACCCUUGUAGUC
rnacentral:rRNA from 1 species